rnacentral:rRNA from 1 species
CAGCCGCCGCGGGAAUACGUAGGGUGCGAGCGUUAAUCGGAAUUACUGGGCGUAAAGCGUGCGCAGGCGGUUGUGUAAGACAGGUGUGAAAUCCCCUGGCUUAACCUGGGAACUGCGCUUGUGACUGCACAGCUAGAGUAUGGCAGAGGGGGGUGGAAUUCCACGUGUAGCAGUGAAAUGCGUAGAGAUGUGGAGGAACACCGAUGGCGAAGGCAGCCCCCUGGGCCAAUACUGACGCUCAUGCACGAAAGCGUGGGGAGCGAACAGGAUUAGAUACCCCAGUAGUCCCUGUCUCUUAUAC